AACAAGCUUCAGAGAAAGCGGGGCCGGGCUGAGGCAGGGCUGAGGUCAAGCUCCCACUGCACCCUGGCUGCCACGGAGCUGGGGGGCGGGGGGCAGCGGACAGGUCCCGCAGGGGAGGGGGGAGGGGGGCGGGCCGGAGGCGAACGUGUGCGACUGCGACGUGCGGGGAAGGGGUCCAGAAAACUUUGUGCUCUUCUCCAGGACCCGGGCCCUGGUGGAUUCGCUGGGAAUCCGCUGCCGCCCGCCCCCCAUCCUGUUACCCCACCUCUGGCCUCGGGGGCUUCCGCCGUUCCCGGAGGGUGGAGAAAAGGCGGCCCCGCGGGUCUCCCACCACCCCCCGCUGACCCCUCCUCCCCUCCAGCACACCCCUUCCCCACCGCGCUCCUUUUGUCCGUCCCCUUCUCUCCGGCUCCCGGCUGGGCGAGAUCCGCGAGGCUUCGGCCCCCCAGAGGGCCGGGGCGGGCGAGCCGGGGGCUGUUCUCCGCCCCCUCCCCCGAGGAGAGGCAGCCCGCGGCGGGGGCACCCCGGAGCCGAGGCCAGCCGCCCCCCUCCCCCAGCGUGUGCCAUCUGCCGCCUGUCAGCCUCUCUCCGCGGGCCUCGAUCCCAGGCGCCGGCGGGGGUGGGGGAGCUGCUCGCUCGGCCCCUCCCUCCUGGCUCCUUCCCAGGCGCCUCGCGGCCUCUGCCCUCGCCUUGGCCCUUGGCACCCCCUCCCCGCCCUCGCGGCCGUGCCCGAGCUGCGAGGGGCGGCUCCCACCGCCCUCCGGGAAGGCCAAGACGUUGCACGCUCCGGGACAGCAGCGCCGGGGGGGGUGGGGGGUGGGGGGCGGCGGCCCGGGGUGGUGGUGUGGGCAGCGCCAACUGCGGGGGCGGGGGCUGGGGCCUGGGUCUCAGUCAGGGGACAUCUCUGUCCGGCCCCUGGCCCCUCUGGGGAUCCCCGCCGCCUCCCGGGGUCGAGGUGUCCGCCUCGGCGUCGCGUUUCGCCGGCCCCCCGACUGUCCCUCGGAGGCGGCCUUGAGCGCGACAGCCUGGCCUCCCCCCGUCCCAGCCCCCCCGCAAGCCUCAGGCCUUCCCCGCACCCGCCGGCCCGCGCUCCCCAGCCGCGGGGUGCGGGGGUGCGGGGGUGCGGGGUGCGGGGGUCGGGGGUGGCCUCGACCUCCGCAGUCGGCGCAGCGAGGGGUCGGAGCCCGCAGGCCGGGCGGGUCCGCGGAGCGAGCCGAGCGGGGCGCGGGCCGGGCCGGCGGGCGGGCUGGGGAGCGGCGGGGCGCAGGCGCCCUGCUUGGGGCGGGCGCCUCUGCCCGGCCAGCCCCCGCGCGGCGCUCGGCGGGCAGCGGGUUUUUCCCUGAAAGGUUGCCCUGGGUAACUCGUCUCCGAGGGGACACAGCCCUCCCCUCUCCAAGUGGCAACUUAUCGAUCCGCGAGAUUGAUAACCCCCAGCGCCGCGCCGCGCGCCCGCUGCGCUCUCCCAGCUCCGGGGCGCGCCGGCCCAAGGUGGCGCCACUCGCCCGGGAGGGGGGCGGGGUCGGGGCCUCUCCCCCACCCUGGACCCGGCCGCCU
rnacentral:lncRNA from 1 species